GGAAUGCACAGAUGGCUAUGAGUGGGACCCAGACAGCCAGCACUGCCGGGGUGUGUGUGCCUGGGGGACCAAACACCCCCAGGAACCCGGAAAGGGAUUGAUAGCUGCUUUCCAAGGGACAGCCCCACCUCCAAGAGCUGCCGUGGGAGCCCAGCAGCCCGUUCUAUGCCCAGCUCUGCUACACGGAGGCCAGCUCUGGCUCUCUGGAGGCCAGUUGAGCUAGGGGUGGCCUCACCCUCUCCCAGAAACCUAGGAAACCUUGCCCCUACCCCUCAGAGGAGCUGGAUCCUGUACGCCUUCUCUGACCCACUCUCCUGUCCCAGCUCUUUGUCUCAUCACAACCUGGGAGGGUAGUGUCCCCAGGGGUGGGUAAGGAGGCCCCCCUCUUGGGCUGAGCUAGGGCUAGGGCCAUGGGGAGGGAUAGAGACCCACUUGCAGGCCGAGAAUGAGGGCAACAGUGGGAACAGCUGCCCCACCUCCAGCCUUGGCCAACCCUGGGGAGGGGUCCUGAGCAGGCAGACUUAGCUUGUUGAGCAGAGUGGGAAGGCUUUGCUGGGGCCACACAUCUCAGAGAAGGCCGAGCUGGGUUCCUGCCUCCGCUCCCUCCAGGGCCAGCCCAGGAGACUGGCUGUGCCCAGCAGGCCCCUCUCUGCAGAUGUCAACGAGUGUCUGACCAUCCCUGAGGCCUGCAAGGGGGAGAUGAAGUGCAUCAACCACUACGGGGGCUACUUGUGCCUGCCCCGCUCUGCUGCCGUCAUCAACGACCUACACGGCGAGGGACCCCCGCCACCAGUGCCUCCCGCUCAACACCCCAACCCCUGCCCACCAGGCUAUGAGCCCGAUGAUCAGGAGAGCUGUGUGGGUGAGUGGGGACUGCUCUGGUGCCUGGCUUCCAGUCCUCUCACCAGGCGUCUUAAACUCAGACCUCAUGUUCCUCCCGGGCUCAAAAGGGCCACUGGUGAUGUCCACACCCUCAUCCAGACACUCGUGUUGUUUAGGACCUGCCGCAGGUGGCCCCAGCUUGUGUGCCACUGCUUCAGCCAGCUCCGGGCCCCUCCCCUCGGUUGCUGCAGAGACACUGCAGGAACUCUGCCUUCCAGUGUCUGUCCCCUGGGAGCCGCAGGCCUUGGAGGAAGGAGAGUCCAGGAAUCAGUGUUGCUGGGGGUGUGUGGACAGGACCUUAUUUCCUAUGCAACCCCCAACAUGCGGUUUUAGAGGUUAGGGGUGCCUUUCCUGUUGGCUCCAGGCUGGUGAACUCUUACGUGUGCUGUUGAAGAGAACCGAAUCCAAGUGUUGGAACUAUCUGUCAUGUUGGGUGGUGUGCGGGAUCCCAGGCGGGGGCUGAGUGGUGUCUCUCACAGAUGUGGACGAGUGUGCCCAGGCCCUGCAUGACUGUCGCCCCAGCCAGGACUGCCAUAACUUGCCUGGCUCCUAUCAGUGCACCUGCCCUGAUGGUUACCGCAAGAUCGGGCCCGAGUGUGUGGACAUAGACGAGUGCCGCUACCGCUACUGCCAGCACCGCUGCGUGAACCUGCCUGGCUCCUUCCGCUGCCAGUGCGAGCCAGGCUUCCAGCUGGGGCCUAACAACCGCUCCUGUGUUGAUGUGAACGAGUGUGACAUGGGGGCCCCAUGCGAGCAGCGCUGCUUCAACUCCUAUGGGACCUUCCUGUGUCGCUGCCACCAGGGCUAUGAGCUGCACCGGGAUGGCUUCUCCUGCAGUGAUAUUGAUGAGUGUAGCUACUCCAGCUACCUCUGUCAGUACCGCUGCGUCAACGAACCAGGCCGUUUCUCCUGCCAGUGCCCACAGGGUUACCAGCUGCUGGCCACACGCCUCUGCCAAGACAUUGAUGAGUGCGAGUCUGGUGCGCACCAGUGCUCCGAGGCCCAAACUUGUGUUAACUUCCAUGGGGGCUACCGCUGCGUGGACACCAACCGCUGUGUGGAGCCCUACAUCCAGGUCUCUGAGAACCGCUGCCUCUGCCCGGCCUCCAACCCUCUGUGUCGAGAGCAGCCUUCAUCCAUUGUGCACCGCUACAUGACCAUCACCUCGGAGAGGAGCGUGCCCGCUGACGUGUUCCAGAUCCAGGCGACCUCCGUCUACCCCGGUGCCUACAAUGCCUUUCAGAUCCGUGCUG
rnacentral:sRNA from 1 species